rnacentral:rRNA from 1 species
CCUACGGGAGGCAGCAGUGGGGAAUAUUGGACAAUGGGGGCAACCCUGAUCCAGCCAUGCCGCGUGAGGGAUGAAGGCCUUCGGGUUGUAAACCUCUUUUAGCAGGGAAGAUGAUGACGGUACCUGCAGAAUAAGCCACGGCUAACUUCGUGCCAGCAGCCGCGGUAAUACGAAGGUGGCUAGCGUUGUUCGGAUUUACUGGGCGUAAAGGGAGCGUAGGCGGUAGAAUAAGUCAGAUGUGAAAGCCCAAGGCUUAACCUUGGAAUUGCAUUUGAAACUGCUUUGCUAGAGUGUGGGAGAGGAUAGCGGAAUUCCAAGUGUAGAGGUGAAAUUCGUAGAUAUUUGGAAGAACACCAGUGGCGAAGGCGGCUAUCUGGACCACAACUGACGCUGAGGCUCGAAAGCAUGGGGAUCAAACAGGAUUAGAUACCCUGGUAGUCCAUGCCUUAAACGAUGAGUGCUAGAUGUUGUCGGUUACCGUUCGUCAGUAUCGUCCGCGUACGACAUAAGUACACUCCGUCCGUCGGGAGGUACGGUCGCGAGAAUUAAACUAACGAACGAAGUUAGACGGACGUGAGACGUAGCCGACGGACGACGACGAGGGAGGUAGG